UUUUUUUUUUGGGGGGGGGGUGCACCUGUGGCAUGCAGAAAGAAGUUCCUGGGCUACUGAUUGAACCUUCACAACAGCAAUUACAACACUGGAUCCUUAAUUGCUAGGUCACCAGGGAACUCCUUCUGGUCUCUUAUUUAUUUAUGUUCUUCCUUGCAAUUUCCUUCCUUGUGCUACCUUAAGGCUGUUUGUUCUUUUUGUUGUUGUUGUUCCUGUAAGUGUAAAGUUAGGUUGUUUAUUUGAGAUCUUUCUUUUUUCUUAAUGUAGACAUUUAUCAUUGAAAAAUUUCCUCUUAGAACUGAUUUUACUGCAUCUCAUUAGCUUUGGUAUGUUUUAUUCUCCGUUUUCAUUUGUCUCAAGAUACUUUUUGACUCCUUCUUUGAUCCAUUGGUUGUUCAGGGGUGUGUUGUUUAGUGGGAUUGCCUCCAGGAUUGCAAUAAAACAAGACUGGAACUGAGUCAUGUGGCAACUGCUGGGUCCGCAGUGGUGUUUGUGAUUUUGCCAAGCCUUUUUUACCAUGAGCUUAGGUGGGCAUGGAUCCUGUUUGGUCUCUAAGUAGAUGACUCUAGGACCUUGGUCAGUAGGGCUGGUGCUGGGACAAGAGUCCACUUCAGGGUCUGUACUGGGUCUGCAGAGAGCUGGCCUGCUGUCAUGUACAGAUACAGGGGUGUCUUCUACCAGGUUUCUGGGAGAGAUCCUGCUGGAUAACUGGUCAGAUCCCUGAGCAUGCAGGAUUACUCUGGACCAUGGCUUAGAGUGGCUGGAACUGAGAUAAAAGGCUGCUGUAUGGUCCACAGCUGGAAUUGAAGUCUGCAGGCCUGCUUCCAGGAGCAUGGAUGGGUAUGCCUCCUGCUAGGUUCCUGGGUGAGUCCAGCUGCCCCUGGACCAUGGCUAAGCAGGAUGGGAGGCAUGUCCCCAGUGGCAGAUACAGGUGGGGGACCUCUCCUUCAGCCAUCUUAAUGGCCUAUAACUUUAAAAAAAUUAAAAUGUGUUCUUAAAUUUUAAAAUUAGUAUAAAUUUAAAAUUAUUUAAAUUGGAAAACAUAGAAAAAUAGAAGUACAGUAUAAAGGCAUUUUAAACAUCGUUGGUCUUCUCCAAUUUUGUGGUUCUGGAAAGUUUAUCUUACACAGUGGUGACUAAAUGGCUAGUUAUAAUAUCCUGCUUUUAUACUUCACACUCUAAAUAAAAUAAAUGUAUAACACAAAUGUUUUUCCAUAGUAUAAUAAACUCCUUAUAAAUAUCACUUGAAAUGGCAAUGCCAUCAUUUACUUAACCAUUCCUCAAUAUUUUUAAUUACUUCCAAAUUUUGUAGAAAAUUUUAUUUUUAUAAAAUAUAUAACUGUUUGUAAUAAAAAUUAUAGGUAUUUUAACUAUUUCUGUAGGAUAAAUUCUCUAGAAAUGGAAUUUCUAAGUUAUAGGGUGUAAAUAUUUUAAGGCUUUUGAUAUAUAGUUCUAAAUUUAGCUUGCAAUAUUAAUGUCUUUCUUCAAUGGAAAAUUAUAGUAAAUUUCAUGGAUUUUUAACUGAACAUGGAUAAAAUUUUACUGCAAAAACACUUUGAGGUUUGAGGGAAGGGUAUUAGCUAACAUAUGUUAAAAGCUGAGUAAUUGGAACUAAUAAGAAAAGUCAGUUUGAAUUUGUGACUAAUUCUUAACUAUAGACUACUUUAAGACAAUGUGCUUUUAUUGUUGUAGUCCAUAAAAUAAUAUCUAGACUAAUGAAAAGUUUAUGGUACUCGGAGUCUUUGGCUCCCAGUCAGGCAGACUCAGCUUUAAAAUCACACUCCACCACCUACCACCUGACCUUGGGCAAGUUUCUUAACUUCUUUGCCUUAUUUUCUGCAUCUGUUCAAUGAAGAUAAUGUUUGUUCUUACUUCUUAGGGUAAUUGUGAGCCUUAAAUAAAAUCAUGUGUUCAGAGUGCCAAGUAUCUUUAUCUAUUAUUAAACAAGAAUAAUUUUCAACGGAAUUCCUAGUCAGUUAGAGUUUCUGCACCGAUAAACAGAUCAGUUAAAAAGUUUUAAAUAAAUAAACCUAUAAUCAAUGAAGUUUCUUCUGUAAAUGAGCUAACAUUUUCCAUGAAAUUAUAUUUGCUGUAUUACCAACUUUAUAUAUAUAUAUAAUUUAUAUAUGUGUGUGUAUAUAUAUGUAUAUAUGUUGUAUAUGUAAAAAAAGCAAGCCAUAAGAAAAGCCUUUGUAUAAUUAAUACAAACAGUGAUGGAUUCUGAGUUAAUUAAAAGGUCUAUUUUUUUAUUUAUGGCUUUACUAUUUUUUAUUUUACAUUAGAGAGAAAAAAAGCUUGAUUUAAUGCUCUUCAUGUUUGGAAUAUGAAGAACAACAAUAAAAGCUAACUUCAAAAUUAAUGAAUAUACUUCAAAUAAGAUUCCAUCAAACAUAAAUACACUGAUAAUCUCAGUAUUUAUAACCUACAGCUAAGGGACAAAUAUAAAUGAAUCAUAUAAAAAAAAUCACUUAAUAUUUUUUCUAAGUUUCUCUGUAAGGAGCAAUUGAGGAAAAUUUUCUAGUGAAAAGCUGUCCCCCAGUGCAGAAGUGGGCACUGCAUUAGUAUGGGGGUGAGGCCAGUUCUGUUUCUACAGGCCAUUUUAUUUAUUUAUUUUGGCUGCGCCUAUGGCAUGUGGAAGUUCCUGGGCCAGGGUUUGAACCUGUGCCACAGCAGCGACCUGGGCUGCUGCAGAGACAGCACCGGAUACGUAACCUACUGUACCACAAGGAAACUCCUCUACAGGCUAUUUUUGAUGCUAUUUGGUUACUGUGGUCUGUGGCUUUCUUACUCUAGCACUCACUUUACCUCAAAUUCUCCACUGUUUCUUAGCUCAGCAAAACUUUUUUUUUUUGGUCUUUUUUUAGGGGUGCAUCUGCAGCAAUAUGGAAAUUCCCAGGUUAGGGGUUGAACUGAAGCUGUAGCUACUGGCCUAAACUACAGCCACAGCAACACGGGAUCCAAGCCGAAUCUGCGACCUACACCAAAGCUGAUGGCAAUGCCAGAUCCUUAACCCACUGAGCGAGGCCAGGAAUCUAACCUACGUCCUCAUGGAUAUUAGUGAGAUUCGUUUCCACUGAGCCAUACUGGGAAUUCCUCAUGAUCCAUUUGAUCUUGAAGCUCAGGCCAAUUUCA
rnacentral:lncRNA from 1 species